rnacentral:rRNA from 1 species
GUUGACCUCGGAUCAGGUAGGAAUACCCGCUGAACUUAAGCAUAUCAAUAAGCGGAGGAAAAGAAACCAACAGGGAUUGCCCCAGUAACGGCGAGUGAAGCGGCAACAGCUCAAAUUUGAAAUCUGGCCCCAGGCCCGAGUUGUAAUUUGCAGAGGAUGCUUUUGGCGCGGUGCCUUCCGAGUUCCCUGGAACGGGACGCCAUAGAGGGUGAGAGCCCCGUACGGUUGGACACCAAGCCUUUGUAAAGCUCCUUCGACGAGUCGAGUAGUUUGGGAAUGCUGCUCUAAAUGGGAGGUACAUUUCUUCUAAAGCUAAAUAUUGGCCAGAGACCGAUAGCGCACAAGUAGAGUGAUCGAAAGAUGAAAAGCACUUUGAAAAGAGGGUUAAACAGCACGUGAAAUUGUUAAAAGGGAAGCGCUUGUGACCAGACUUGCGUCCGGUGAAUCACCCAGCUCUCGCGGCUGGGGCACUUCGCCGGCACAGGCCAGCAUCAGCUUGCCGUCGGGGACAAAAGCUUCAGGAACGUGGCUCCUCUCGGGGAGUGUUAUAGCCUGUUGCACAAUACCCUUCGGCGGGCUGAGGUACGCGCUCCGCAAGGAUGCUGGCGUAAUGGUCAUCAGCGAC